rnacentral:rRNA from 1 species
AUUAUGAAAGCAAAAAAUUAUGGCGGUAUUUUAAGCUUUUCAGAGGAAUUUGCUCUUUAAUGGAUAAAACACCUAAAUCUUACUUAAAUUUGUUAAUUCAAUUUGUAUACCACUAUAAAAACAAUUUAUAACUUUAAUUGUUGGUAUUUAUUAAAUUAAAAUAUAUUAAGUCAAGGUGCAGUAAAAAUUUAAGGAUGAAGUGAAUUACAUUACUUUUUAGAGAAAUAAAUUUAAAAUAAUAUUUAGGAUUUGAAAGUAAAAUUAAAAUAUAAUGU